rnacentral:lncRNA from 1 species
CUAUUAAUUUUAAUAUUUAAAAAUGAGCGCUAAGCACGUAUUGAGGCGGUCGUCCGCGAGGGAGAUGUACAAUUCAUUGGACGUUUUAAAAAAUAUCGAUAAAACAAGUAUCGAUCGAAGUCAAAAAUACGUUUUAAAAAAAUAAAAAAGGAAUUUUGAGGUUAUGUGUACACUUGACCUACGGGUCUAUAAAAAAUAGAUAUGUUUUUUAGAAGCCUCAUAAAAUGUUUAAAUUAAUUGCAACUUAACUAAAUAA